rnacentral:lncRNA from 1 species
UCAACCCCAACUUUUAAAUACUAUAAACUCUAAAUUGUAAUCAUUAAACCCAAAUCCAAAUAUAAACUAUAAACUAUAAUAUAUAUUUAUAAUGAUUAAUCCAACCCACAUCUCUUUAAUAAAAAAGACAAUUCUCUUUUGUCACAAAAAUAGACUUCAAAAACUAAAAUGACCAAAAUAAAAUUCUUUUAUUUUGAAAAUUUUAUAUUUUAUUUUAUUUUUGAAAAUUUGAAAUCCUAUCCCUUAAAUCCCGGUUCUCAACUCUAAACCCUAAACCUUAAACUUUAAACUUUAAACUCCACCCC